ensembl:ribozyme
UCAAGUGCCCUAAUGGCCAUAGCAGAAGCGCUCCCGUCGUGGCCUUGUCAGAUCCUGACGAAUCUGUGAAUUCUGCU